GAGGGCGGGGCCGGGGCUCGUCUCUCCCACCAGCUAGCCGCGGACCCGGAGGAUUUUAAGACACCACCCUCGACUUUAGCCAAUGAGAAGCCGGGAGCUGAACUGAGAUCUUAGCCAAUGAGGAGUCCGGAAGAAGUCAGUUUCCGCCCCUUCCUCGCUCCUUGGUAUUAGCCAAUACGGAACCAGGACUUGCUCUCUUCCGCAGAUCCCACCCAGUAAGGGCUUGGGGGCGGGCCUUGGGCUUCUGGCACGCCUCCUCCCGUGGAGAAGAGUUGCCGCGGGCCGCGUUCGAUCCGAUCCCGAGUCCGCCGGGCGUCGUGGAGUGGCGCUCGCCUCACCUCCCGCACGCAGAUCCCGAGCUCUGGGCAGGGCGCUGGCGUCCUCUUACUAGACUGCUAAGCCCCUGCUGUGUGCUGACACGCUUCCGACCCGGCGGGGAAGGUUGGAGCCUGCGAAACUGUGAGCCAAAGUACGCCUGCAUGAGGGGGCCUUGUGUCCGUGAUGGGGCUGACCAGCACGCCUGGCCCAGCAUUAGCAACAGUUUUGGAAGCUGAUAAGUUCUUUACUAGCAGUAACAAAGAACAAAACUUGAUCAGCCACACCAAGAACUCCAUCCUCUCUGGAGAAAUCACAGAGACGAGCAGAGAAUGCAGCCCAAAAACCUAGCCGAAAACCUGUGUGAACAGAGCUUGCGGUUCCUGGUUCUGCACCACUAUGGACCCAGCUGCUGGAACGCUGCCCUGCAAGUCAUUCCUGCUGCCGUGAGCCAGAUGCCGGGCAUGGAGAAGCUGGGUCACCUGGAGAGUGAGUGCUGACCUGAGGGGAGACUGAGGCCCUGUUUUCCAUGAGCCUGCGCCAUCUCACACUUCCGCCAGCCGCACUUGAGAGUCCAGCUACACUUGGUGUUCAGUCAUUUCUCAUUACCUUACCACUGAGUGGCAGUUCUGUC